rnacentral:rRNA from 1 species
GACGAACGCUGGCGGCGUGCUUAACACAUGCAAGUCGAACGAAGUGGCGAACGGGUGAGUAACGCGUAAGCAACCUGCCCUUCAGAGGGGGACAACAGUGGGAAACGACUGCUAAUACCGCAGAGGGAAGGAGGGGGUUGCGGGUGAUUGGCUAGUUGGGGGGGGAACGGCCAACCAAGGCGAUGGUCAGUAGCCGGUCUGAGAGGGGUAACGGCCACAUUGGGACUGAGACACGGCCCAGACUCCUACGGGAGGCAGCAGUGGGGAAUCUUCCGAGAUGGACGAAAGUCUGACUGAGCAACGCCGCGUGAGUGAUGACGGCCUUCGGGUUGUAAAGCUCUGUUAAUCGGGACGCGGUACCGGAAUAGAAAGCCACGGCUAACUACGUGCCAGCAGCCGCGGUAAUAC